UAAGGAAUAUUGGACAAUGGAGGCAACUCUGAUCCAGCCAUGCCGCGUGAAGGAAUAAGGCCCUAUGGGUUGUAAACUUCUUUUAGACGGGACAAAACCCCUUUACGUGUAAAGGGUUGAUGGUACUGUCAGAAUAAGCAUCGGCUAACUUCGUGCCAGCAGCCGCGGUAAUACGAAGGAUGCAAGCGUUAUCCGGAAUUAUUGGGUUUAACGGGUGCGUAGGCGGACUAAUAAGUCAGUGGUGAAAGCCUGCAGCUUAACUGCAGAAUUGCCAUUGAUACUGUUGGUCUUGAGUACAGUUGAGNGAGGCGGAAUGUGUCAUGUAGCGGUGAAAUGCUUAGAUAUGACACAGAACACCGAUUGCGAAGGCAGCUUGCUAAGCUGUAACUGACGCUGAGGCACGAAAGCGUGGGGAGCAAACA
rnacentral:rRNA from 1 species